GGGGAAUAUUGCACAAUGGGCGCAAGCCUGAUGCAGCAACGCCGCGUGAAGGAUGAAGGCCUUCGGGUUGUAAACUUCUGUCCUAGGGGAAGAAACAAAUGACAUUACCCUUGGAGGAAGCCCCGGCUAACUACGUGCCAGCAGCCGCGGUAAUACGUAGGGGGCGAGCGUUAUCCGGAAUUAUUGGGCGUAAAGAGUGCGUAGGUGGCACCUUAAGCGCAGGGUUUAAGGCAAUGGCUCAACCAUUGUUCGCCUUGCGAACUGGGGUGCUUGAGUGCAGGAGGGGAAAGUGGAAUUCCUAGUGUAGCGGUGAAAUGCGUAGAUAUUAGGAGGAACACCAGUAGCGAAGGCGACUUUCUGGACUGUUACUGACACUGAGGCACGAAAGCGUGGGGAGCAAACAGGAUUAGAUACCCUGGUAGUCCACGCCGUAAACGAUGAGCACUAGGUGUCGGGGUCGCAAGACUUCGGUGCCGCAGUUAACGCAUUAAGUGCUCCGCCUGGGGAGUACGCACGCAAGUGUA
rnacentral:rRNA from 1 species